CUGGCUCAGAUGAACGCUGGCGGCAGGCCUAACACAUGCAAGUCGAACGGUAACAGGAAGCAGCUUGCUGCUUGCUGACGAGUGGCGGACGGGUGAGUAAUGUCUGGGAAACUGCCCGAUGGAGGGGGAUAACUACUGGAAACGGUAGCUAAUACCGCAUAACGUCGCAAGACCAAAGAGGGGGACCUUCGGGCCUCUUGCCAUCGGAUGUGCCCAGAUGGGAUUAGCUUGUUGGUGAGGUAACGGCUCACCAAGGCGACGAUCCCUAGCUGGUCUGAGAGGAUGACCAGCCACACUGGAACUGAGACACGGUCCAGACUCCUACGGGAGGCAGCAGUGGGGAAUAUUGCACAAUGGGCGCAAGCCUGAUGCAGCCAUUCGCCGCGUGUAUGAAGAAGGCCUUCGGGUUGUAAAGUACUUUCAGCGGGGAGGAAGGGGUUAAGGUUAAUAACCUUAGCCAUUGACGUUACCCGCAGAAGAAGCACCGGCUAACUCCGUGCCAGCAGCCGC
rnacentral:rRNA from 1 species